CACGUAGGGACCAAGCGUUGUCCGGAUUUAUUGGGCGUAAAGAGCUCGUAGGCGGUUCGGUAAGUCGGGUGUGAAAACUCUGGGCUCAACCCGGAGAGGCCACCCGAUACUGCCGUGACUUGAGUCCGGUAGGGGAGCACGGAAUUCCUGGUGUAGCGGUGAAAUGCGCAGAUAUCAGGAGGAACACCGGUGGCGAAGGCGGUGCUCUGGGCCGGUACUGACGCUGAGGAGCGAAAGCGUGGGUAGCAAACAGG
rnacentral:rRNA from 1 species